UUCAUUGGGCUAAACCCAAUUUGCCCUAAGAAAACAAAAUAACAAAAUUAAGCAGGCCAAUAUCUGUUUGGUUUGCACAAAAAAAGAGAAAAUAAAUGAAAUUUUAAAUUGUUUCCAGCCGAACAGUCAGUUGGCCUUCAUAAAUGAUACUGACGUUUCUUCUUCCCAAGACCACUGAAACAUAAAAGCAAAUCUUUCCAUAUCUUUUCCUUAUCAAUUUUGCUUUUCAGACCUGUGCUAUUCCACCCAUUUCAAAUGUCGUCUCAUAUUACCGACCGCUGAAGUCUUCUCAUUUCUUUUACUCUGAAGAAACCCGAUGAAUUGGCUCCAUUUCUCCUCUAGAUGAUCGUAAAGUCUCUCCCUCCAGAUGUAUUGAAAUGAUUAUCGGAAGCUCGAUUGGGUUGGAAGCUUAUCGGAGAUAUAUCACACUAUCCAUUGGUUCUAUCAGUAAUUUUGGAUGAUUUGAUUCUGGUUAUAAUGGCAUGUAUAAGUUAAAUUGGCCAA